GAUGAACGCUAGCGGCAGGCUUAACACAUGCAAGUCGAGGGGCAGCAUAAUGGAUAGCAAUAUCUAUGGUGGCGACCGGCGCACGGGUGCGUAACGCGUAUGCAACCUACCUUUAACAGGGGGAUAACACUGAGAAAUUGGUACUAAUACCCCAUAAUAUCAUAGAAGGCAUCUUUUAUGGUUGAAAAUUCCGAUGGUUAGGGAUGGGCAUGCGUUGUAUUAGCUAGUUGGUGGGGUAACGGCUCACCAAGGCGACGAUACAUAGGGGGACUGAGAGGUUAACCCCCCANACUGGUACUGAGACACGGACCAGACUCCUACGGGAGGCAGCAGUGAGGAAUAUUGGUCAAUGGACGCAAGUCUGAACCAGCCAUGCCGCGUGCAGGAUGACGGCUCUAUGAGUUGUAAACUGCUUUUGUACGAGGGUAAACGCAGAUACGUGUAUCUGUCUGAAAGUAUCGUACGAAUAAGGAUC
rnacentral:rRNA from 1 species